AUUGAACGCUGGCGGCAGGCCUAACACAUGCAAGUCGAGCGAGCGGCGGACGGGUGAGUAUUGUCUGGGAAACUGCCUGAUGGAGGGGGAUAACUACUGGAAACGGUAGCUAAUACCGCAUACCAUCAGAUGUGCCCCGAUGGGAUUAGCUAGUAGGUGGGGUAACGGCUCACCUAGGCGACGUUCCCUAGCUGGUCUGAGAGGAUGACCAGCAAAACUGGAACUGAGAACCGUUCCAGAUUCCUACGGGAGGAAGCAGUGGGGAAUAUUGGAAAAUGGGCGCAAGCCUGAUGCAGCCAUGCCGCGUGUGUGAAGAAGGCCUUCGGGUUGUAAAGCACUUUCAGCGGGGAGGCGUUACCCGCAGAAGAAGCACCGGCUAACUCCGUGCCAGCAGCCGCGGUAAUUC
rnacentral:rRNA from 1 species